rnacentral:rRNA from 1 species
UUAAGCGACUAAGCGUACACGGUGGAUGCCCUGGCAGUCAGAGGCGAUGAAGGACGUGCUAAUCUGCGAUAAGCGUCGGUAAGGUGAUAUGAACCGUUAUAACCGGCGAUUUCCGAAUGGGGAAACCCAGUGUGAUUCGUCACACUAUCAUUAACUGAAUCCAUAGGUUAAUGAGGCGAACCGGGGGAACUGAAACAUCUAAGUACCCCGAGGAAAAGAAAUCAACCGAGAUUCCCCCAGUAGCGGCGAGCGAACGGGGAGCAGCCCAGAGCCUGAAUCAGUGUGUGUGUUAGUGGAAGCGUCUGGAAAGGCGCGCGAUACAGGGUGACAGCCCCGUACACAAAAAUGCACAUACUGUGAGCUCGAUGAGUAGGGCGGGACACGUGGUAUCCUGUCUGAAUAUGGGGGGACCAUCCUCCAAGGCUAAAUACUCCUGACUGACCGAUAGUGAACCAGUACCGUGAGGGAAAGGCGAAAAGAACCCCGGCGAGGGGAGUGAAAAAGAACCUGAAACCGUGUACGUACAAGCAGUGGGAGCACAGAGCAAUCUGUGUGACUGCGUACCUUUUGUAUAAUGGGUCAGCGACUUAUAUUCUGUAGCAAGGUUAACCGAAUAGGGGAGCCGAAGGGAAACCGAGUCUUAACUGGGCGUUAAGUUGCAGGGUAUAGACCCGAAACCCGGUGAUCUAGCCAUGGGCAGGUUGAAGGUUGGGUAACACUAACUGGAGGACCGAACCGACUAAUGUUGAAAAAUUAGCGGAUGACUUGUGGCUGGGGGUGAAAGGCCAAUCAAACCGGGAGAUAGCUGGUUCUCCCCGAAAGCUAUUUAGGUAGCGCCUCGUGAAUUCAUCUCCGGGGGUAGAGCACUGUUUCGGCAAGGGGGUCAUCCCGACUUACCAACCCGAUGCAAACUGCGAAUACCGGAGAAUGUUAUCACGGGAGACACACGGCGGGUGCUAACGUCCGUCGUGAAGAGGGAAACAACCCAGACCGCCAGCUAAGGUCCCAAAGUCAUGGUUAAGUGGGAAACGAUGUGGGAAGGCCCAGACAGCCAGGAUGUUGGCUUAGAAGCAGCCAUCAUUUAAAGAAAGCGUAAUAGCUCACUGGUCGAGUCGGCCUGCGCGGAAGAUGUAACGGGGCUAAACCAUGCACCGAAGCUGCGGCAGCGACGCUGAUGCGUUGUUGGGUAGGGGAGCGUUCUGUAAGCCUGUGAAGGUGUGCUGUGAGGCAUGCUGGAGGUAUCAGAAGUGCGAAUGCUGACAUAAGUAACGAUAAAGCGGGUGAAAAGCCCGCUCGCCGGAAGACCAAGGGUUCCUGUCCAACGUUAAUCGGGGCAGGGUGAGUCGACCCCUAAGGCGAGGCCGAAAGGCGUAGUCGAUGGGAAACAGGUUAAUAUUCCUGUACUUGGUGUUACUGCGAAGGGGGGACGGAGAAGGCUAUGUUGGCCGGGCGACGGUUGUCCCGGUUUAAGCGUGUAGGCUGGUUUUCCAGGCAAAUCCGGAAAAUCAAGGCUGAGGCGUGAUGACGAGGCACUACGGUGCUGAAGCAACAAAUGCCCUGCUUCCAGGAAAAGCCUCUAAGCAUCAGGUAACAUCAAAUCGUACCCCAAACCGACACAGGUGGUCAGGUAGAGAAUACCAAGGCGCUUGAGAGAACUCGGGUGAAGGAACUAGGCAAAAUGGUGCCGUAACUUCGGGAGAAGGCACGCUGAUAUGUAGGUGAAGUCCCUCGCGGAUGGAGCUGAAAUCAGUCGAAGAUACCAGCUGGCUGCAACUGUUUAUUAAAAACACAGCACUGUGCAAACACGAAAGUGGACGUAUACGGUGUGACGCCUGCCCGGUGCCGGAAGGUUAAUUGAUGGGGUUAGCGCAAGCGAAGCUCUUGAUCGAAGCCCCGGUAAACGGCGGCCGUAACUAUAACGGUCCUAAGGUAGCGAAAUUCCUUGUCGGGUAAGUUCCGACCUGCACGAAUGGCGUAAUGAUGGCCAGGCUGUCUCCACCCGAGACUCAGUGAAAUUGAACUCGCUGUGAAGAUGCAGUGUACCCGCGGCAAGACGGAAAGACCCCGUGAACCUUUACUAUAGCUUGACACUGAACAUUGAGCCUUGAUGUGUAGGAUAGGUGGGAGGCUUUGAAGUGUGGACGCCAGUCUGCAUGGAGCCGACCUUGAAAUACCACCCUUUAAUGUUUGAUGUUCUAACGUUGACCCGUGAUCCGGGUUGCGGACAGUGUCUGGUGGGUAGUUUGACUGGGGCGGUCUCCUCCUAAAGAGUAACGGAGGAGCACGAAGGUUGGCUAAUCCUGGUCGGACAUCAGGAGGUUAGUGCAAUGGCAUAAGCCAGCUUGACUGCGAGCGUGACGGCGCGAGCAGGUGCGAAAGCAGGUCAUAGUGAUCCGGUGGUUCUGAAUGGAAGGGCCAUCGCUCAACGGAUAAAAGGUACUCCGGGGAUAACAGGCUGAUACCGCCCAAGAGUUCAUAUCGACGGCGGUGUUUGGCACCUCGAUGUCGGCUCAUCACAUCCUGGGGCUGAAGUAGGUCCCAAGGGUAUGGCUGUUCGCCAUUUAAAGUGGUACGCGAGCUGGGUUUAGAACGUCGUGAGACAGUUCGGUCCCUAUCUGCCGUGGGCGCUGGAGAACUGAGGGGGGCUGCUCCUAGUACGAGAGGACCGGAGUGGACGCAUCACUGGUGUUCGGGUUGUCAUGCCAAUGGCACUGCCCGGUAGCUAAAUGCGGAAGAGAUAAGUGCUGAAAGCAUCUAAGCACGAAACUUGCCCCGAGAUGAGUUCUCCCUGACUCCUUGAGAGUCCUGAAGGAACGUUGAAGACGACGACGUUGAUAGGCCGGGUGUGUAAGCGCAGCGAUGCGUUGAGCUAACCGGUACUAAUGAACCGUGAGGCUUAACCU